AUUGAACGCUGGCGGCAUGCCUUACACAUGCAAGUCGAACGGUAACGCGGGGCAACCUGGCGACGAGUGGCGAACGGGUGAGUAAUGCAUCGGAACGUGCCCAGUAGUGGGGGAUAGCUCGACGAAAGUCGAAUUAAUACCGCAUACGACCUACGGGUGAAAGGGGGGAGUCGCAAGACCUCUCGCUAUUGGAGCGGCCGAUGUCAGAUUAGGUAGUUGGUAGGGUAAAAGCCUACCAAGCCUGUGAUCUGUAGCUGGUCUGAGAGGACGACCAGCCACACUGGGACUGAGACACGGCCCAGACUCCUACGGGAGGCAG
rnacentral:rRNA from 1 species